rnacentral:rRNA from 1 species
UACAGAGGGUGCGAGCGUUGUUCGGAAUUAUUGGGCGUAAAGGGCGCGUAGGCGGCGCCACAAGUCACCUGUGAAAACUCUGGGCUCAACCCAGAGCCUGCAGGCGAAACUGUGGUGCUGGAGUAUGGGAGAGGUGCGUGGAAUUCCCGGUGUAGCGGUGAAAUGCGUAGAUAUCCGGAGGAACACCCGUGGCGAAGGCGGCCCCCUGGGCCGCGCCUGACGCUGAGACGCGAAAGCGCGGGGAGCGAACGGG